rnacentral:rRNA from 1 species
UUUGAUGGCGACCGGCGCACGGGUGAGUAACACGUAUCCAACCUGCCGAUGACUCGGGGAUAGCCUUUCGAAAGAAAGAUUAAUACCCGAUGGCAUAGUUCUUCCGCAUGGUAGAACUAUUAAAGAAUUUCGGUCAUCGAUGGGGAUGCGUUCCAUUAGGUUGUUGGCGGGGUAACGGCCCACCAAGCCUUCGAUGGAUAGGGGUUCUGAGAGGAAGGUCCCCCACAUUGGAACUGAGGCACGGUCCAA